rnacentral:rRNA from 1 species
CUUGGUCAUUUAGAGGAAGUAAAAGUCGUAACAAGGUUUCCGUAGGUGAACCUGCGGAAGGAUCAUUAAAAAAGAAUUAUUCUUUACAAGUGAAUUAUACAACUGACUUGGGUGAAUAGCCCACUAAACUUUAAGUUUAAACUGAAAAUUUAUAAUGAUACAACUUUUAGCAACGGAUCUCUAGGUUCUCGCAACGAUGAAGAACGCAGCGAAUUGCGAAAAGUAAUGUGAAUUGCAUAAUUCCGUGAAUCAUCGAAUUUUUGAACGCACCUUGCACUUGUUGGAAUUCCGACAAGUAUGCCUGUUUGAGUAUCGAAGCAACAUCACAUCAAGUGGAUAUGGGCCAUCGUUUUCGUGGUCUUAAAUAUAGUUGGGUACGCUCAGUGAAGGGACGAAUUCGUCAAGAACUGAAGUACUAAACCUAAAACUUUUGAUCUCAAAUCAAGCAAGAUUACCCGCUGAACUUAAGCAUAUCAAUAAGCGGAGGA